GGGCCAACUAUAGAAUUCUAGAUUGCUAAACAAAUAGACGUGCACAUAAAAAAUUAGUACCACCUUGGAUAGAAAAAUAAAUUUCGACGGUGAACGGAUGAAAAAAUUGAAGAAACGCACCUUGCUUUAUUAGUAAAAAAAGGUAUAGAGUAUAGAUAUAGAACUAGGAAAACUGCCCGUGCGUUGCAACGGGUGAAAAAAUAUUCAAAUUCGAAAUAAAUUCAUUAUUGAUGGUCCACGGCCAUAUCUAUGUGGCACAGAAAUCCAAGAAUUCUCAAGCAUGAACAUUGACUGGUCUGUCUUCAUGAGCUUGCCAAGGCAACCUCAUAAAUUUGAAGCAUUUUCUCGUUUAGUAUGAGCUCAAACAAAAAAUUUAGUUCACACACAUAUUUUUUAUCCCAAUUUCCAGCAAAUCCUUUCAUAUUCUACAUACUGCUAAAAGAUAACUACCGAACGAACAUACUCAUUCUCCAGAACUAAACUCAACCAAAUUACGGUGCAAAACAACAAUUUUGUAACGUGUACGUGUUUGUGUUGAAUGGAACAUUCUUGUGAUUUUCCCAUGUCUCUGUUAGUCUUUAUGCAGAACUUUCACCUUGUGUAUCAUCGCCACAUGACUACCCUCCACUCUUGCUUUGGCUCCAUCACUUUAUUUCACUCCUGUUGACUGUUGUCACAUGGCUGCCUUGUAUAGCUCCAGAAAGAAUCCACUAUGUGAACUUGGGAGCUCACCGGUGUAACGUGCUCUGUAGCUUCACUGCAACACCUCAUCAUGCUCCGUGAUGGUGCCACUGCUCCAUGCCAUUUCAAAUGAUUAGCAUCUCAUUGUUUUAUAUAGCCAUAACAUAUAUUUCUUAUCCAUGAAAGCUGAAAUAUGAUAUAGUUUAUUUUUUCCUUGCAUGGUGUCUUUCCAAAUAUGAACAUUGGUAGAGAAAAAUACUUUAUGAUCUCUGCGAGACAUUACAGCGAACACAUGGUACACAACUGAUAUCAAAAUAUGUACCUUAGCAGCAAAAGGCCAUGGUUCAUCGUCUGCACUCAGCAUCAUUGUAAUGGGCACAUGUUCCAUUUUAAUACCUUCAGUUCUGUUGUUAGCAUGAAAACAAAUAUUGCUGGAACUAAAUCAUGCAGUCAAAUUAGUAUGAAGACACAAUAUUCUUAAUUAAUAGGUCAAUCAGUUUAUAGACAUAUUAAUAUCCCUUCCACAGUCAGGUUGUUGUAUAUAUAAGCUAUAAAUGUGCAAUAUCAUCAUGCAUAUCCCUAUGACAGUAAUAUUUGUAGCUUUGUAAUAUGGGAGAAUAGAUCCUUUGAGGAAAAAUUUAUGGAAAAUAGGGCCAGGCAAAAUGAUUAUGAUAUCCAUCACAUGUAAUAGUUUGGCCGUGAUGCUCUAUGUCAUGCAUGUUUCGAAUACAACAAUCUGAUGAAGAGGAAGAAAAAAGAGGAAGCGGGUUGAUUGAUCAAUAUGGUGUUAGAACAGGAGAUGAAUGAGAAGAAUAGAAGUAAUGAGAGAGCGGUCAGGAGGGGAGAAAAAAGUCAGAAGAAGAUCACCAGGUUACUCAUGUUUGUUUCCUUCGCAAACUUCGUGCAUUCGCCGAGAGAGGAACCAGGAACAAGAGAAGGACCGGGCGAGUGCCUCCAACACAUCAUCACUUUGGCUCAUGAUUAAAAAGAAGUAUUUCAGAUAGUAAAGUACAAUACCAAACAAUAUGAGCAGUGUUGCAAUCAGUCUGAGUAAAUACUACUC
rnacentral:lncRNA from 1 species